CGUCCUGUGGCUCAAUGGGUCAGUGCGCCUGGCUGUUAACCUGAAGGUUGGUGGUUCAAGCACACCAGGGAUUG